UAAAAUACAGAGACUGGGGCUGUGGGCUGUUGGUCUCACAGAUUCAGGAGCCGAUGAUGUCGCCUCCGCUCUCAGCACAAACCGCUCACUGACGGAGCUGAAACUGGGAAACAAUGAACUGGGAGACUCUGGAGUGAAACUGGUGUCAGCGGGUGUUAGGAACUCGGACUGUGAAAUACAGCGACUGUGGCUGGACAGUAUCAAUCUCACAGAUUCUGGACUCCACGAUCUA